UUUUAUGGAGAGUUUGAUCCUGGCUCAGGAUGAACGCUGGCGGCGUGCCUAAUACAUGCAAGUCGAGCGAACGGACGAGAAGCUUGCUUCUCUGAUGUUAGCGGCGGACGGGUGAGUAACACGUGGAUAACCUACCUAUAAGACUGGGAUAACUUCGGGAAACCGGAGCUAAUACCGGAUGAUAUUUUGAACCGCAUGGUUCAAAAGUGAAAGACGGUCUUGCUGUCACUUAUAGAUGGAUCCGCGCUGCAUUAGCUAGUUGGUAAGGUAACGGCUUACCAAGGCAACGAUGCAUAGCCGACCUGAGAGGGUGAUCGGCCACACUGGAACUGAGACACGGUCCAGACUCCUACGGGAGGCAGCAGUAGGGAAUCUUCCGCAAUGGGCGAAAGCCUGACGGAGCAACGCCGCGUGAGUGAUGAAGGUCUUCGGAUCGUAAAACUCUGUUAUUAGGGAAGAAC
rnacentral:rRNA from 1 species